UUUUGCUAUCUCUUAUCAUCAGGGCCUUCAGUAAGACCCAGAGACCAAUUUUUGGGAGCACGUGCUG
rnacentral:snRNA from 1 species